AUUGAACGCUGGCGGCGGGCCUAACACAUGCAAGUCGAACGGGUGGCGGACGGGUGAGUAAUGUCUGGGAAACUGCCUGAUGGAGCGGGAUAACUACUGGAAAAGGUAGCUAAUACCGCAUACCAUCGGUUGUGGCCAGAUGGGAUUAGCUAGUAGGUGGGGUAAAGGCUCACCUAGGCGACGAUCCCUAGCUGGGCUGAGAGGAUGACCAGCCACACUGGAACUGAGCCACGGUCCAGACUCCUACGGGAGGCAGCAGUGGGGAAUAUUGGACAAUGGGCGAAAGCCUGAUGCAGCCAUGCCGCGUGUAUGAAGAAGGCUUUCGGGUUGUAAAGUACUGUCAGCGGGGAGGCGUUACCUGCAGAAGAAGCACCGGCUAACUCCGUGCCAGCAGCCGCGGUAAUUC
rnacentral:rRNA from 1 species